GAAUUUGAGUUUUUAUUAUUUAUCAAUUCUAUCACAUAGAUUACGAUUUCACAUAUGGGAUUAUUAAUGGCAAUUAGAUGAUAGAAGAAUUGGGAUUGGAAGAAGAUAUUGAGUUGUUUAUUUAUGGGGAUUAGAAAAUGAUUAUCAUACGAGUGAUAUUUAUUUUUGUGUGGAUUGUUAAUAUAUAAAACUAUAAGCUUUUGAGAUUGGGAGACAAAACCCACACAUUCAAAUCAGACAAAAUAAAUAAAAAAUUUAACUGACUUAAAGAUCAAACUCCAAAAGGGUAUUAAAAACAAGGCUUAUUUGAUCCAUUGAGUGUGAAAGUUUUGAGCUUUGAAGAAGCAGAGGAGGAGAGUUGUUAACCAAGCUGCAUUAUCCAUGUAUUAGGAUGUUGAAGGUAGGCAGGAAAAUUACUUUUUGACGCCAUAUCCAGAGGAGCAUAACGACAGGCCUGCAUUUUUGCAGCAAUGACCAAAACAAGUAGAAGUGAAGGCUUGACUGUUUGGCAAAAGUCACACUUUGAAGAGUUCACGCUGCAUAGAAAGACGAUGAAAUGCUAUCUGUUGAGUCCAUCAUUGCUCCAUUGGAGACAGAGCUGAAGCUUGAUGCAGGUAACCAAGUUGCAGGAUGAAAACAGAACACUUGAUCUGCAGGUAAACCUCCAAUUUCCAUAUGAAGUUUGCAUUUUCGUUAUUUCUG